ensembl:snRNA U1 U1 spliceosomal RNA
AUUCUUAUAUGUCGGGGUAGUGCCGUGAUCAUGAAGGUGGUUCUCCCAGCACCAAGGCUCAUCUAUUGCACUCCAGAUGUGCUGACCCCCUGAGAUUUCACCAAAUGUGGGAAACUUGAUUGCAUAAUUUAUGGUGCUGGUGAACUGUGUUCGCUCUUUCUCCAG